UUUAGCAUUUGCUUGAAUUAGUGCUUGCAAAUUCUUCGGACACUACACACGAAUGAAUGAAUCAUUACAUCUAUAUACACAUGCAUGAAGUUGUGAAAAUGUUGAAUCCUAUGUCAGGAAAUCCAAACUACCCAGUGGCAUUUUUUUUUUUUUACAAAAGUGAAUUAUUAAUGACUGAUCUAUAUAUUAAUGAUCUGAUUGGUCAAAAGCCAUGCAUGUUAGUGAUUACAAACUCAAAAGUGGAGUUUGUUGGUGUUGGGACCAAGUACAAAACUGAGUUGAACCAGAAUCCACACAAGGUUUGAUCAAGGAGUAACGAAUGAGUAGCUAGGAUCGGAACUGCUAAGCUAAAUAACGG
rnacentral:lncRNA from 1 species